UACGUAGGGUGCGAGCGUUGUCCGGAAUUACUGGGCGUAAAGAGCUCGUAGGUGGUUUGUCGCGUUGUUCGUGAAAACCCACAGCUUAACUGUGGGCGUGCGGGCGAUACGGGCAGACUGGAGUACUGCAGGGGAGACUGGAAUUCCUGGUGUAGCGGUGGAAUGCGCAGAUAUCAGGAGGAACACCGGUGGCGAAGGCGGGUCUCUGGGCCGUAACUGACGCUGAGGAGCGAAAGCGUGGGGAGCGAACAGG
rnacentral:rRNA from 1 species